rnacentral:rRNA from 1 species
UCCGUAGGCGGUGUGGCAAGUCGGGGGUGAAAUCUCUGGGCUUAACUCAGAGACUGCCUCCGAAACUGCCGUGCUUGAGUGUGGGAGAGGCGCGUGGAAUUGCAGGUGUAGCGGUGAAAUGCGUAGAUAUCUGCAGGAACGCCCGUGGCGAAAGCGGCGCGCUGGACCACAACUGACGCUGAGGGACGAAAGCUAGGGGAGCAAACAGGAUUAGAUACCCUGGUAGUCCUAGCCCUAAACGAUCAGGACUUGGGGUGUCUCGCGUCCGCGAGACGUCCCGGAGCUAACGCGUUAAGUCCUGCACCUGGGGAGUACGGUCGCAAGACUGAA